rnacentral:misc_RNA from 1 species
GUGAGUCAUCGAAUCUUUGAACGCAUAUGGCACCUUUUGGUUCUUACUAAAAGGUAUGCCUGUUUGAGAAUCAUCUUCUACAUUCCACUCUUGGACACGUUUGAUUGACGGGUCAGAUCUCAAUGGGUCAGCUUUCAAUUGAAUGAAUGACCAGGAGUGCGACACAUGGACCUUCACCACUGAUCGUCUUGAAUUCAUGCACGGGGCUGUUCGUGGUAUACAGGGGCGUGUGGGGGCGUGUGCAUCCACAGUGCAUGUGCUCCCCUGCUUUGCUUGUGAUCGAGCGGUCCCGGUUCCUUU